CCCUUAGACGUUCUGGGCCGCACGCGCGCUACACUGACGAAGGCAACGAGCUUUCCUUUACCGAAAGGUACGGGUAAUCUUUUGAAACUUCGUCGUGCUGGGGAUAGAUCCUUGCAAUUAUUGAUCUUAAACGAGGAAUUCCUAGUAAGCGCAAGUCAUCAACCUGCGUUGAUUACGUCCCUGCCCUUUGUACACACCGCCCGUCGCUACUACCGAUUGAAUGGUUUAGUGAGGCCUUCGGAUCCGCGACUCGUUUUGUGGAGAAGUUGGACAAACUCAGUCAUUUAGAGGAAGUAAAAGUCGUAACA
rnacentral:rRNA from 1 species